UAAACACCAGUUCCUAUACGAUCACUGAAGUUAAGCAACAUAUAGCCUGGUCAGUACCUAGAUGGGUGGCCACUUGGGAAUACUAGAUGCUGUA